rnacentral:lncRNA from 1 species
UUUUAAAUCAUUUUGUGUAUUUUAUUUUGUUUUAAAUUGAUUUGUGCUUAGUUAAGUAUUUUGUUUUAUAAUUUGUGAUUAGUGCUUGUAAAAGUAGUAUGAACUUGUUUAGUGCAUAUGUCACGUGAGUGAAAAAAUGGUAAAUUUAAUUUUUGCCAUGAUGUAUUGAUAACCAAAGACGUGUUUAAUAGAGAGGCUAUUUCAUUCAUGCAUUAAUGUUACGUAAGAUAAGGCAGACAGUUUACAGGUGAAUUUCCUUUAAAUAAAGCUACGCAGAUAUUAUAUCACUGGCUUCGUACCUGUAUUACGUGUAUAAAAGGGCAGACCUCUUGGUAAUAUUAUUUAUGCUCUGCUUAUGUCUUGAAAUACAUGGAUUAUGAAUAUCAUGAAGAGAGAUAUUCUAUUAUCAAUGAAGAUGAAUGUACAAGUAGAAAAUUUGUACUUAAUUUCCUAGAAUGUUGUGUAUAACAUUAAAUCAAACAUUUAAAUUCUUG